ACUCUCUGACAAGUGACAAGUAGUAACGCUCUAGUUCUCUUCAAAACAGUAGACCAAGGGUUUCCUUCUCCUGAGAACAAAGGUAAACGGUCAAGCAAAGUGUGCAAGGUCGUUGAUGGAGUAUUCCAUGUGUAAUCCUCUCACCAGUCUGAGCCCCACCAACUGAACAUCAGAGGACCAACUUGCACCUGCAGAAACUUCAGCAGGACUCACAUCCCCUGCAGACAUAUUUUUCAAGCUAUCGAUGAUGGUUUAAUGAAAUGGGAGGACCUACCUGAAGAUUACAGAAACAUACCGUUCUUCGUAAAAGAUAAAGGAAGUGAUAUUGGGAUAUGGCCAGCUGAUGCAGAUGUAAACAAAUGCUGCGAUUAUCCAGCAUCAGAAGACGAGGAUGAAGAAGUAGAAGAUGAUGAGGUUGGAGG